CUUUUAUCAUUCUUUUUGAUGGCUGAUAGUAGAAAGCACACAGUAGGUACUCCAUAAAUGUAAGACUAUGGCAGCUGUCUAGUACAAGUGCUUCUCACUGAUUCUUGGUUACCAGGAAAACCAGAAAGCCCGUCACUUGCCUUGCCUGCAAAGGCGAGCCUAAAGAAAUUUCUCUAACCAAAAUUGGCAGGUUCUUUCCACCACAAAAGGCUCUUGGAAAUAUAACUUAUGGGGCUUAAGGCUAAUUUGAGUUGAAGGGUAUUUGUAAUAUUUGAUUUGCUUUUAGCAGAGAAAACAAUAAAAGAAUCCAGGAAAAGUAGAAAAAAAAAA
rnacentral:lncRNA from 1 species